UGCACAAAACUGAAAUUAUUUUUAAUAUGUUCUCACACGUAACUACAAUUGUCUCUAUUGCUUUAUCUGGGUACACCACACAUUUGUGCAUGCGAAGUAUGAUUUCGUAUUGUAGUUUUAAUACGAGCAACGUGUGAGAACAAGUCAUGAAGUCGCUUAGGGCAUCUUUGGCAAUCCUCUAGAACCGCAAACAACUUGACUCUCGCUCCUCUAACUGAAACCCAACUUAAAAAUACUUGGGAUUUGAUAAUCCAUUAGCCAAAUCGGUAGUGUCCUAAGAUCGAUUUCAUCGUCCAAUGACCCAUUUAGGGGAUAUUUGGCCCGUUUGACAAGGAAAUAUCCGCACAAUAUGGAUCUUCACCUCAACAUUGUAUGCAACUACGUAAGGCCUAAUAGUCUACAAAACUUCUUCUUCUCAACCAAUCCAAUCGUUCUCUCCCGUGGGGCUUGUCCGUUUCGUGAUUUCUCCCACAUCGUGUGGCUACACAAAAUGGGGUAGGG
rnacentral:lncRNA from 1 species